CAUCAGGGUUCCACCUCUUCCCAUUCCGAACAGAGAAGUUAAGCCUGAUCACGCCGAUGGUACUGCGUAACAGUGGGAGAGUAGGUAGUCGCCGUUUU
rnacentral:rRNA from 2 species